GCCUGGCUGGCUCAGUGAGUAGAGCAUGGGACUCUUGAUCUUGAGGUGGUGAGUUCAAGCCCCACACUGGGUU
rnacentral:tRNA from 1 species